rnacentral:rRNA from 1 species
AUUGAACGCUGGCGGCAGGCCUAACACAUGCAAGUCGAGCGGAUGCGGGGAGCUUGCUCCCUGAUUUAGCGGCGGACGGGUGUGUAACGCCUAGGAAUCUGCCUGGUAGUGGGGGAUAACGUUCCGAAAGGAACGCUAAUACCGCAUACGUCCUACGGGAGAAAGCAGGGGACCUUCGGGCCUUGCGCUAUCAGAUGAGCCUAGGUCGGAUUAGCUAGUUGGUGAGGUAAUGGCUCACCAAGGCGACGAUCCGUAACUGGUCUGAGAGGAUGAUCAGUCACACUGGAACUGAGACACGGUCCAGACUCCUACGGGAGGCAGCAGUGGGGAAUAUUGGACAAUGGGCGAAAGCCUGAUCCAGCCAUGCCGCGUGUGUGAAGAAGGUCUUCGGAUUGUAAAGCACUUUAAGUUGGGAGGAAAGGCUGCUGGUUAAUACCCUGCAGUUUUGACGGUACCAACAGAAUAAGCACCGGCUAACUUCGUG